CUGGUUGAUCCUGCCAGUAGUCAUAUGCUUGUCUCAAAGAUUAAGCCAUGCAUGUCUAAGCACAAGCCGAUUAAUGGUGAAGCCGCGAAUGGCUCAUUACAACAGCCAUAGUUUCUUAGAUCUUACUUUUCUACUUGGAUAACUGUGGUAAUUCUAGAGCUAAUACACGCAAAAAAGCUCAGACCUUACGGAAUGAGCGCAUUUAUUAGAACAAAAACCAAUCGGGCUUCGGUCCGUCAUUUGGUGAAUCUGAAUAACUUUGCUGAUCGCACGGUCUUCGUACCGGCGACAUAUCUUUCAAAUGUCUGCCUUAUCAACUUUCGAUGGUAGUUUAUGCGCCUACCAUGGUUGUAACGGGUAACGGAGAAUAAGGGUUCGACUCCGGAGAGGGAGCCUGAGAAACGGCUACCACAUCCAAGGAAGGCAGCAGGCACGCAAAUUACCCACUCCCGGCACGGGGAGGUAGUGACGAAAAAUAACGAGACGGCUCGCUAUGCGGUCCGUCAUCGGAAUGGGUACAAUUUAAAUCCUUUAACGAGGAUCUAUUGGAGGACAAGUCUGGUGCCA
rnacentral:rRNA from 1 species